AUGUCCAAGAUGGAUCGAGGUUCGGAGUAUGAGGAGUAUGGUGCACGCCCUAAACGGACUGUUCGGCUGCCUGCCCGCUAUGCUGAUUAUGAAAUGGGCCCACCAUAUAGAAAGGAUGCAGGGACGGCUCCCCUGCAGGGUGCGGCCAGGAAGGCCUCCUUCACCCCCCCUGAUGGUUCUUCCCCGACGAGAGGCUGGCAGAGGCGGGAUGCCGUUCUCCAAGAAAUGGACAUGUGCUACGGAGCUGAGAGCCAACUACACAGCCGGGAGGACGAGCUAGCCCCCAUGCCAUCCCUCAAGAGCUCAUUUCAGGAGCGGCUGCAUGAGCACUUUACGCCCCUGCCUUCAGCAUGGCCCCCCAGAGACCGACUAGAGGACUGCAAAGCAGAGCUGGAUGACAUCCGUCGUGAGAGGCAUCUACUUCAGCAGACGCAGCGGCGCAUGUCAACGGAUGUGGCGGAAAUGAGGACACUCCGCCAGGAGAUGAGGCAGCUAAUCCACUCUGUCCAGAACCUGCAGAGCCUAUCUCCUGCGCCCACCACUGGACCGGAGUCAGCUGCAAAGCCUCAACUGUCACCAGCUAAGAUCCAGCCCGAUGAGGAGGACGAGGACGAGUGGCCUGCACCUCCGCCAGGGCCAGGCCCCAUCGAUGACAGACUACAGCCUGCUCAUCCACAGCAGCCCGAGUCCCCUGUCGUCCAACCGCUGCCACCUCCACCUCCUGAGUACUUAUUGGGUCAGACACGAGUACGCCACCCCAGCACCAGCUACUCUCAUGUGCCAAGGCCCGUAGACGAUGCUGCUCAUUCCCUCCGUCCCUGGUUCCGGCCGAUUCCGCUACAAAGUCGGUCCCCACACGGCGCUCCUAGGAGUGAUGCUCAUGGCCAUACAUCACCCCCCCAGCUGCCUCCAGACACACCCUGGACGCAGCAGCCGCCACCCAUGCAGCCCUCUUGUUCCACACCCAUUACUCCUGAGCUGAGCUACUACGGACCAAGACCCACGAUC
rnacentral:lncRNA from 1 species